CCGGCGACCGGCGCACGGGUGAGUAACACGUAUGCAACCUGGCCGUGACAGAUGGAUAACCGGGAGAAAUCCCGCCUAAUACAGCAUGACGCCGGGAAGGGACAUCCCUUUCCGGCCAAAGGGGGCGACUCCGGUCACGGAUGGGCAUGCGGCGCAUUAGGUAGUUGGUGGGGCAACGGCCCACCAAGCCGACGAUGCGUAGGGGUUCUGAGAGGAAGGUCCCCCACAUUGGAACUGAGACGCGGUCCAAACUCCUACGGAAGGCAGCAG
rnacentral:rRNA from 1 species